rnacentral:rRNA from 1 species
CCUACGGGAGGCAGCAGUCGGGAAUAUUGCGCAAUGGAGGAAACUCUGACGCAGUGACGCCGCGUGCAGGAAGAAGGUUUUCGGAUUGUAAACUGCUUUAGACAGGGAAGAAAAAAGACAGUACCUGUAGAAUAAGCUCCGGCUAACUACGUGCCAGCAGCCGCGGUAAUACGUAGGGAGCAAGCGUUAUCCGGAUUUAUUGGGUGUAAAGGGUGCGUAGACGGAGAAGCAAGUUAGUUGUGAAAUCCUAUGGCUUAACCAUAGAACUGCAUUUGAAACUGUUAUUCUAGAGUAUGGGAGAGGUAGGUGGAAUUCUUGGUGUAGGGGUAAAAUCCGUAGAGAUCAAGAGGAAUACUCAUUGCGAAGGCGACCUGCUAGAACAUAACUGACGCUGAUGCGCGAAAGCGUGGGGAGCAAACAGGAUUAGAUACCCCUGUAGUC